rnacentral:rRNA from 1 species
GUGGGGAAUCUUCCGCAAUGGACGAAAGUCUGACGGAGCGACGCCGCGUGAGUGAAGAAGGCCUUCGGGUCGUAAAGCUCUGUCAUCAGGGACGAACGGCCGGUGGAGUGGAAAGCCACCGGAUUGACGGUACCUGAGAAGGAAGCCACGGCUAACUACGUGCCAGCAGCCGCGGUAAUACGUAGGUGGCAAGCGUUGUCCGGAAUUAUUGGGCGUAAAGCGCGCGCAGGUGGGAUCUUAAGUCCAUUUUGAAAGUUCGGAGCUCAACUCCGUGAUGGGAUGGAAACUGGGAUUCUUGAGUACCGGAGAGGAAAGCGGAAUUCCCCGUGUAGCGGUGAAAUGCGUAGAUAUGGGGAGGAACACCAGUGGCGAAGGCGGCUUUCUGGACGAAAACUGACGCUGAGGCGCGAAAGCCAGGGGAGCGAACGGGAUUAGAAACCCCUGUAGUCC